rnacentral:misc_RNA from 1 species
GAUGAAGAACGUAGCGAAAUGCGAUAAGUAAUGUGAAUUGCAGAAUUCAGUGAAUCAUCGAAUCUUUGAACGCACAUUGCGCCCUUUGGCAUUCCGAAGGGAACACCUGUCCGAGCGCCGUCGCACAACUGAGGCGCAGCCUUGCGUUGGCGGGCGACUUGUGAGUAGCGAGUCGCCGCCCAAACGAGACGGCGCCGCGCCGCGGCCGACGAAGCACGAAAGCGGAAGUCGACGCGGAGGCGGUUGCCUGUAGGAAGACACAGCUUGGCCUCGGAUCAGGUGGGGAUACCCGCUGAACUUAAGCAUAUCAAUAAGCGGAGGA